GACAGAGGGGGCAAGCGUUGCUCGGAAUUACUGGGCGUAAAGGGCGCGUAGGCGGGAUGGCAAGUCGGUUGUGAAAUCCUUCGGCUCAACCGAAGAACGUCGAUCGAUACUGCCACCCUUGAGGGAUGCAGAGGAGACUGGAAUUCCCGGUGUAGCGGUGAAAUGUGUAGAGAUCGGGAGGAACACCGGUGGCGAAGGCGGGUCUCUGGGCAUCUCCUGACGCUGAGGCGCGAAAGCGUGGGGAGCAAACGGG
rnacentral:rRNA from 1 species